GCGAAGGUGGCGGAAUUGGCAGACGCGCUAGAUUCAGGUUCUAGUGGGGUAACUCUCGUGGAGGUUCAAGUCCUCUCCUUCGCA
rnacentral:tRNA from 2 species